rnacentral:rRNA from 1 species
GACGAAGGGGGCUAGCGUUGUUCGGAAUUACUGGGCGUAAAGCGCGUGUAGGCGGUUGUCUAAGUUGGAUGUGAAAGCCUUGAGCUUAACUCAAGAAAUGCAUUCAGGACUGGAUGACUAGAGGACCGGAGAGGAUAGUGGAAUUCCCAGUGUAGUGGUGAAAUACGUAGAGAUUGGGAAGAACACCAGUGGCGAAGGCGGCUAUCUGGACGGUUUCUGACGCUAAGACGCGAAAGCGUGGGGAGCAAACAGG